rnacentral:lncRNA from 1 species
UUUUUUUUUUUUUUUUGAGACAGGGUCUCAUUCUGUCACCCAGGCUGGAGUGCAAUGGCACAAUUACGGCUCACUGAAGCCUCGACCUUCCGGGAACAGGUGAUCUUCCCACUGCAGCCUAAUAGCUGGGACUAUGGGCGUGCACCAUGAAGGCUAGCUAAUUUUUUGCAGUUUUUCAUAGAGAUGGUGUUUCUCCAUUUUGCCCAGGCUGAUCUCGAACUCCUGGGCUCAAGCAAUCUACCCACCUCAGCCUCCCAAAGUGGGCCAUCUUUCAUUUCUCCAUCUCAGUCUGAGUCUGUGCUUGAACUGAUGUACUUAGAGAUUAAGGACCUUUCUGACCAAAGUCAAAUGAGCCAUCCAGCUGGUUCUGGUCCUCAGAAGGAUGAGAGGUAGUCUGAAUAGCAAGUAAGGAUUGAUUCAACCACCAGUUCACCAAAUAAAGCCAAAACAUUGACAUCAAGAAAUAAGCCAAUUGCUGACAUACGUAUAUGCGCCAGAAGUUGCUUGUUUCAACUAUUUGAAUUCAACACAUUAUUGCCACUAGGCAACUUUAAGUAAUUAAUUUAUCUUUAGCUAGUGAAUGCAACUUACUUUUCCAUCUUCUUGGGGAAAGGGGAAAGCAUUUGCCAUUUUCAGUGUAAAUUAAUCUGGGUUAGAAGGGAGCCCCCAUAGCAUCAGCAGAAAGCAAAUUCUAUAGUCAAGUUUCACAACCAUUAAAUUUUAAGAUUAUAUUCUGAUGGUACUUCUUAGAAAAACGAAAGAAGUAAAGUUUCACCUAUGAGAUAAAUUAGAGGCCAAAUUGCUACUUCCUGUAAUCUUAAAGAAGAUACUCUCAAAAAAUCUUUUUAAAAAAGUUGUCUUGAUCAUUUUGGCAUGAAAUAGCUGGAGAUUAGAGGAAGAAACGGCAAGGCACUUGGAGGAAUAGAAAAAUGAAAAUAACCAAAAUUACAUCUUUGUUACAUGAGGGGCCAAAACCAGAAAACUUCAUGCAAGGUUUUGUGUCUUGGCAGCGAGUAUUGCCCUUACACCAUAGAAUGUCAUUGCAAUCAUAUGGUAUCAAUAACAAACGAAUUAUGGCCAGAAUGUCUAAGAUCUGUUCUUCUAGACUUUAGAUGUGAAUUCCUCUUCUCACAAAUCUCAAAUGCGUGUUCAUUCUGAACGCUGGCUGUUUUUUGACCUUUUUGCUGACCUGAAAGUGUUAUAUAGCUAGAGUAAGACUGAAACUAGUUCCUGGAACAUCCCUCAGAGUGGCCAAAAUAUUUUCUUUAUGACUGUGAAACAAUUCCAGCUGAUGUUGCUUUCUGUAAUACAGCUUUCUAGACUACCAAAUUCUACAGUAUUUUCCAGUAUAAUCCUUUUCAAUUUCUGUCUCAAGACUUGAGUUAGGCUCUUUCAAUAGGGCCUAAACACACUACCAAUCGAUAGCAUUAUGCUGAGCUGAAUUAUGCUGAAUUAGACUUUGGUACCAGAGACCAGAAAUGGGAGCUAGUAUCUAUUAUCUUUCUCAUUUUUAGUGGGCUUUGUGGUUUGCAUGGUCAAGACAU